AACGAACGCUGGCGGCAGGCUUAACACAUGCAAGUCGAGCGGGCCCUUCGGGGUCAGCGGCAGACGGGUGAGUAACGCGUGGGAAUCUACCCAUCUCUGCGGAACAACUCCGGGAAACUGGAGCUAAUACCGCAUACGCCCUUCGGGGGAAAGAUUUAUCGGGGAUGGAUGAGCCCGCGUUGGAUUAGCUAGUUGGUGGGGUAAAGGCCUACCAAGGCGACGAUCCAUAGCUGGUCUGAGAGGAUGAUCAGCCACAUUGGGACUGAGACACGGCCCAAACUCCUACGGGAGGCAGCAGUGGGGAAUAUUGGACAAUGGGCGCAAGCCUGAUCCAGCCAUGCCGCGUGAAUGAUGAAGGCCUUAGGGUUGUAAAGUUCUUUCACCGAUGAAGAUAAUGACGGUAGUCGGAGAAGAAGCCCCGGCUAACUUCGUGCCAGCAGCCGCCGUAAAAC
rnacentral:rRNA from 1 species